GGCCUUCUGGCGAAAUGGCAUCGCGUCUGGCUACGACAUGUUUGCAAUUAGGAGAUUACAGGUUCGACCCCUGCGCUGAUCA